CCCCUAUGGUAAUGUGGAUGUGAAAGCAUAUGGCCAAAUAAAGCAUUGGUUGCUACAUCAAAUCACUACUGUGCCAAAGAUAUUUUACGAGCAUUUAAACAGCACAACACAAUCUAUGUGACAUAUUAUAGUGUAUGGAAACACUCUCCUAUUGCCAGGGGACUUUUGUGGACAGGGGUUUUGUUAUCAGGAAGUGCUUGUGUUCUUGCCUUAUUGACUGGUGAUAAGAAAACAUGACCCAAAGAGAGCUAAUUAAAGGAAAAGACUUGAAUUCAUAUAAAAGAUGAGAAUUGACAGAAAAGAUGGAAUUAACGUAAAAAAGACUUAAGUUGAUCAAAAAAUAAAAAAGUUGGAGAUUUUCUGACACAGUUAUACUUCUACUAUUAAUAUUAAUAAAUUAUUGGGGAAAUCUGCGUGACAGAAUAGAAAAACUACAGCUACAGUUGGUAUUCUUGCAGCUCACAUUGGGGGAAAAACAAGAUGUCAGCAUUGGAAAAAAUGGACGUCAUUUUUACAUCCAAACCACUUUGGGGUAUGGGGGAGUCAUGCAUAAUGU